rnacentral:rRNA from 1 species
AUACGUAGGGAGCAAGCGUUGUCCGGAAUUACUGGGUGUAAAGGGAGCGUAGGCGGGGAGACAAGUUGGAUGUGAAAACUCUAGGCUCAACCUGGAGAUUGCAUUCAAAACUGUUUUUCUUGAGUGAAGUAGAGGCAAGCGGAAUUCCUAGUGUAGCGGUGAAAUGCGUAGAUAUUAGGAGGAACACCAGUGGCGAAGGCGGCUUGCUGGGCUUUUACUGACGCUGAGGCUCGAAAGUGUGGGGAGC